UCUCGAUUGGUCUAGUGGUCAGGAUACCUGCUUGUCAUUCUAUGAUUAGAAACAAUUCGCAGGUGGCCGGGGUUCGAUUCCCCGAUCGAGAG